CUAAUGAUCUCUCUCUCUCUCUCUCUCUCUCUCUCUCUCGUUCGCCUACCCCGUCCCCAAUCCGCCUUGUUGCCUCCCCCAGUCUGGCGCGUCUCCGGCAGCAUCCUCCAGUCGGACGCGCCCCCGAUCUGACUCUCUGUCUGCCCCGCCCCUUAAUCUACCUCUUUCUCCCAUCAAAUCCUCCACCACGCUGUCUCCUCCCUACAUGCCUUGCUUCCAUCCGUCUCCCCCGGUCCGCCUAACCACCAUGACGCAUGUCGCGCUGUCGUCGGAUGUGCAGGAGGACGGAACCCCCUACAUCGGCGGCGCUGAGCGGGAGGAGUCUCCAGAUUUUAAGCUUUUUGUGGGGAAUUUGCCGUUUGAUGUUGACAGCGCUGCGCUUGCCAACUUGUUUCAAUAAGCCGGAAGUGUGGAGGAGGUUGAGGUGAGUCUAUUUGUCUGGUACUCAUUGAGAUGCGUGAUUUUGGUAUUCAAUUUCGUGAAUUUGAAUUUGGAAUGCUCUGUUGCUUGUUGGUUACUUGAAAAGGAAUAUAUUAGGGUUCAGUUUUCAGAAUCUCAAAUUCUAAAUUUGUAUUGUUAACUGUGAGUGAUGAAUAUAUUGCUUAAUGUCAGUUCUGUUUAUUUGACUAGCUAAAUUGAAAUUUUGUAUGGUUAGAGUGGUAGUAUUUAUACCUGGAAUUGCUCUUUCAUCCGCCAUUGUUGCCUUUACUGUGAGUUCUCUUUGCUUGUUCUAGAUGACAGAAUUGUAUAAGCUUUGCAAUUAGUUAUGUAUAUUUGUUGGUAAUUGGGUUUUAGUUGAUUAUUUAAUGGUGGAGAAGGAAUUUCAUUAUGGGGAUAUAAUCAAGGGCUAAUUGACUAACAUGCAUCUGAAGGUAUAACUCCAGUUGUUUAGAGUUAAGGUGGUCGAAGAGUUUGGUUGGAGUUAGGUGUCUCUAUUGUUGGUCUACAGCUGGAAGCAAAUUGAGAUAUCAAUUAGUCUACGAAGAAAAGAAACAGAAGUUUCUUGCUUAAGGCUUGAUGACUAACAUGCACACUAUGCUAAUUAAUUGAAGAACAGAGACAAAGAAAUUUUCCUUUGGAUCUAUUUGGGAAAAAUUAUAAAAUGGAGCCAAUAGGUUUGGACUUAAGUUUUGGAUUCACACCUUUGCGUGUUUGUAAUUACGAUUUUUCUGGCUUUCUCUGAAGUGAUUGUAAGGUGUCGAGUUUGCAAUUUAUGUGAUGUAAAAUUAAGAUGUUAGGACUUAAUGUUAAGCGGGCAUGAGAAAAUAGGCAGACAAAUGGAGCACUAGGGGUCAGUGUGGGUGCAAGUGGAAGAAGUUAUUUUCCUCAUCACCUGUACUGGCAUUGGGUUAAUGCUGCCAGGCCCUUUAAUGAAAAGUACUAGUGAAAUAAUAGUGUCAGAGUUGAUCUGCCCAAGCAGUUCUUCAUGGCCAUCUGUUUGUUAUGCAAUUGCUCCAUCUAAGUUUGAUCACGCGAAUGAUUUACUGCCAUAUUGUACUUUUGAAUGUCUCACAUUAAAUGUUGAUCACAAUCUUGUUAUCCUUCUCCACAAUAACUUAUGGGGUUUAGUGUAUGACCAUUUAACUGCAUAGUGUCAUGAGCAAUUGUGAAACUCGAUUCCUGAACAAAAUUUUUGGCAAUGAUUACCAUGUAUUCUUCUUGUUCACAAAUUUAUUUGACUUGGUCAUAAAUUUAUUUGACUCAGUUUCACAUGUUGCACCUAUUAUGCUCAUCCAAGGCCUUUGUUAAACCAUUUGUUUUGGUGUUCUUGAUUUGCUUUGAACAUUUGGAACUAUAUGCUUCCUUCAGAAACUCGCAUCAAAUUGAAAUAUUCUGUAGGUUAUUGUAGAAUGUCGAGUCUUUGAAAUUAGAGCAUGAGAAAAGGGCAGCAGCUCUCAGAAAGUUAGAGAUAAAGAAUGCUGAUUAUAUCAAGACUGAAAAGGCGAAAAAGGAAGUCGAGAAGUUGGAAUCACAGAUGAUGGUUGUUGUGCAAGCUAUUGAGACUGCCUCCAUAGAGAUAAUCAAAUUGAGGGAAUCAGAGCUUUAACUUCAACUUCUUCAGCUUGUCAAGGGGGAAGACUUCAGGAAGCAAUACAAAGAAAAACAUCCUAACAACAAAUCAGUUGUUGCUGGUUGGUAAAGCUGGUGGUGAUAGGUGGAAGUCAAAAAAUCAAGCUUGAGAUGAAUUUCUUGAGGUUUUCUAUACCGAAGCUUCAAUGUCACAGAGCAUGUUGUGUUUACAUUCUUACAUUCUUGAAGGUUUGUGGUGGAUUAAAUGAGUCGUACGUUGAGCUGAAGAGUUUUGUGAAUUCACAAGAAAAGUUGUACCAGAUGGCUAGCUAGUUUCAUAUUUAAUAUGUUUAGUAUUUUUGUAAGGCAUAAUAGUAUUAGAUAGAGCAGUUGAUGAAUUUUGACUAUAUUCAAAUGGUGUAUGAAUUCUUUUUUAUGAUAAUAAUAUAUGAAUUUUGAUUA